rnacentral:rRNA from 1 species
UGACAUACCUAUACGUUGCCUCGGCGGAUCAGCCCGCGCCCCGUAAAAAGGGACGGCCCGCCCGAGGACCCCUAAACUCUGUUUUUAGUGGAACUUCUGAGUAAAACAAACAAAUAAAUCAAAACUUUCAACAACGGAUCUCUUGGUUCUGGCAUCGAUGAAGAACGCAGCAAAAUGCGAUAAGUAAUGUGAAUUGCAGAAUUCAGUGAAUCAUCGAAUCUUUGAACGCACAUUGCGCCCGCCAGUAUUCUGGCGGGCAUGCCUGUUCGAGCGUCAUUUCAACCCUCAAGCUCAGCUUGGUGUUGGGACUCGCGGUAACCCGCGUUCCCCAAAUCGAUUGGCGGUCACGUCGAGCUUCCAUAGCGUAGUAAUCAUACACCUCGUUACUGGUAAUCGUCGCGGCCACGCCGUAAAACCCCAACUUCUGAAUGUUGACCUCGGAUCAGGUAGGAAUACCCGCUGAACUUAAGCAUAUCAAUAA